UUAAAAAGCUCGUAGUUGAACCUUGGCCCCGGCCGGCUGGUCCGCCUCACCGCGUGCACUGGCUCGGCCGGGGCUUUCCCUCUGUGGAACCCCAUGCCCUUCACUGGGCGUGGCGGGGAAACAGGACUUUUACUUUGAAAAAAUUAGAGUGCUUCAGGCAGGCCUAUGCUCGAAUACAUUAGCAUGGAAUAAUAAAAUAGGACGUGCGGUUCUAUUUUGUUGGUUUCUAGGACCGCCGUAAUGAUUAAUAGGGACAGUCGGGGG
rnacentral:rRNA from 1 species